rnacentral:rRNA from 1 species
CGAUGCAACGCGAAGAACCUUACCAAGGCUUGACAUGCACCGGACAGCUGCAGAGAUGUGGCUUUCUUUGGACUGGUGCACAGGUGGUGCAUGGUUGUCGUCAGCUCGUGUCGUGAGAUGUUGGGUUAAGUCCCGCAACGAGCGCAACCCUCGUUCUAUGUUGCCAGCGCGUCAUGGCGGGGACUCAUAGGAGACUGCCGGGGUCAACUCGGAGGAAGGUGGGGACGACGUCAAAUCAUCAUGCCCCUUAUGUCUUGGGCUUCACGCAUGCUACAAUGGCCGGUACAAAGGGUUGCGAAACUGUGAGGUGGAGCGAAUCCCAAAAAGCCGGUNCUCAGUUCGGAUUGGGUUAGUAGUUUGUAUGCAGGUCC